CAAAAUGUAAAAAAGAGCUAGAGAUGUAGCUCAGAGGUGAGGUGCUCCUGGGUUCAAUCCCCGGUAACAACCCCCCUCCUCCAAAAAAAAAAAAAAAAAAUUUGCAGAAGGCCUGUCUAGAGGAAUUUCAAGUAUCCAUCACUGUCAGUUCCUGCCCUGGACCAUAAAAUCCCAGCAGAAGUCCAUUGGUUCAAAUGGAUGACUGAGUCAGUAUAGUUUGCAGUAGUUCUUCCUUCUUUUCUUAACCUUUUUUCAUCUCUUAUUUUUUUAAAUCUACAAAAACUGUCAUUUUGAAGUAAACAAAAACAGGAAAAAUUGCAUGAUGAACUCCAUGUACACAUCACUCAACUUCCCAACUGUCAUUCACAGCCAGUCACUUCCACCACCCUGACUGCCCCACUUCUGCUGCACUAUUGUGAGGGCUCGGAGGUAAAUCUCAGAUGUCAUAUAAUUUCUCCUAUAGUUAUUUCAGCAUAUGUCUCUAAAAGAUGUGAGCUCUUUUAUAGAAUGACCACAAUACCUUUACCACUCAUGAAAAUAUUGAUAUUAAUUCCUUACUAUCAUCAAUUAUUCAGGUUUAAAUUCCCUGUUAUUUACCAUUGGUUGUUUGAGUCAAGAUUUGUACAAGGUCUAAAUGUUGCAUUUCAUAGAUAUAUUUUAAUCUAGAAAUGUCUUUCUCUUUUAUUUACUGAAAUCAGAUCACUAGUCCUAUAGAGUCUGGGUUUUGCUGACUUUUUCUCCUUUGGUGGUGUUUAAUAAGUUCUUCUGUUCCCUGUACUUUCUGUAAGCUAAUUUUUUUUUUUCAAAAAUGCUUCAUAGAUGCCUUGUAUAUUUU
rnacentral:lncRNA from 1 species